AGCGAACGCUGGCGGCAGGCUUAACACAUGCAAGUCGAGCGGGCAUCUUCGGAUGUCAGCGGCAGACGGGUGAGUAACACGUGGGAACGUACCCUUCGGUUCGGAACAACUCUGGGAAACUGGAGCUAAUACCGGAUACGCCCUUAUGGGGAAAGGUUUACUGCCGAAGGGUCGGCCCGCGUCUGAUUAGCUAGUUGGUGGGGUAACGGCCUACCAAGGCGACGAUCAGUAGCUGGUCUGAGAGGAUGAUCAGCCACACUGGGACUGAGACACGGCCCAGACUCCUACGGGAGGCAGCAGUGGGGAAUAUUGGACAAUGGGCGCAAGCCUGAUCCAGCCAUGCCGCGUGAGUGAUGAAGGCCUUAGGGUUGUAAAGCUCUUUUGUCCGGGACGAUAAUGACGGUACCGGAAGAAUAAGCCCCGGCUAACUUCGUG
rnacentral:rRNA from 1 species